rnacentral:rRNA from 1 species
UGGGGGAUAUUGCACAAUGGGCGAAAGCCUGAUGCAGCGACGCCGCGUGGGGAUGAAGGCCUUCGGGUUGUAAACCUUUUUUGCUCUUAACAAAGCAUUCUAAAUGGUGUGGUUAGUGGAGGGGUUGAUUUGCGCCGGCUAACUUAGUGCCAGCCAGCGCGGUAAUUAGGUGGGGCCGAGCGUUUUUCGGAAUUUUUGGGCGUAAAGGGCCUGUAGGUGGUUGGUUGCGUCUGUCGUGAAAGCUAAUGGCUUAACUGUGGGUUUGCGGUGGGUACGGGCUGGCUUGAGUGCAGUAGGGGAGGCUGGAAUUCCUGGUGUAGCGGUGGAAUGCGCAGAUAUCAGGAGGAAUACCGGUGGCGAAGGCGGGUCUCUGGGCUGUUACUGACACUGAGGAGCGAAAGCAUGGGGAGCGAACAGG